UACGUAGGGUGCAAGCGUUAAUCGGAAUUACUGGGCGUAAAGCGUGCGCAGGCGGUUAUGUAAGACAGUUGUGAAAUCCCCGGGCUCAACCUGGGAACUGCAUUUGUGACUGCAUGGCUAGAGUACGGUAGAGGGGGAUGGAAUUCCGCGUGUAGCAGCGAAAUGCGUAGAUAUGCGGAGGAACACCGAUGGCGAAGGCAAUCCCCUGGACCUGUACUGACGCUCAUGCACGAAAGCGUGGGGAGCAAACAGG
rnacentral:rRNA from 1 species